GACGAACGCUGGCGGCGUGCUUAACACAUGCAAGUCGAACGGGCCCGCUCUCUUUUUUGGGGGUGGGUUGAGUGGCGAACGGGUGAGUAUCACGUGAGUAACCUGCCCCCUGCUCCUGGAUAACUGCUUGAAAGGGCGGCUAAUACGGGGUGUGCCGGCUGGUCCGCAUGGGCCUGGUCGGGGUAGUUUCAUCUUCGGGUGUUUCGGUGGGGGAUGGGCUCGCGGCCUAUCAGCUUGUUGGUGGGGGGAUGGCCCACCAAGGCGGUGACGGGUAGCCGGCCUGAGAGGGUGGGCGGCCACACUGGGACUGAGACACGGCCCAGAAUCCUGCGGGAGGCAGCAGUGGGGGGUAUUGCACAAUGGGCGGAAGCCUGAUGCAGCGACGUCGCGUGAGGGAUGGAGGCCUUCGGGUGGUGAACCUCUUUCUCCGGUGGGGAAGGCCCUGUCCGUUGCGGCGGGGUUGACGGUAGCCGGGUAUGAAGCGCCGGCUAACUACGUG
rnacentral:rRNA from 1 species